rnacentral:rRNA from 1 species
ACGCUGGCGGCGUGCUUAACACAUGCAAGUCGAACGAUGAAGCCUAGCUUGCUAGGUGGAUUAGUGGCGAACGGGUGAGUAAUACGUGAGUAACCUACCUUUAACUCUGGGAUAAGCCUGGGAAACUGGGUCUAAUACCGGAUACGACCAAUCUCCGCAUGGGGUGUUGGUGGAAAGCGUUAUGUAGUGGUUAUAGAUGGGCUCACGGCCUAUCAGCUUGUUGGUGAGGUAACGGCUCACCAAGGCGACGACGGGUAGCCGGCCUGAGAGGGUGACCGGCCACACUGGGACUGAGACACGGCCCAGACUCCUACGGGAGGCAGCAGUGGGGAAUAUUGCACAAUGGGCGCAAGCCUGAUGCAGCAACGCCGCGUGAGGGAUGACGGCCUUCGGGUUGUAAACCUCUGUUAGCAGGGAAGAAGAGAGAUUGACGGUACCUGCAGAGAAAGCGCCGGCUAACUACGUGCCAGCAGCCGCGGUAAUACGUAGGGCGCGAGCGUUGUCCGGAAUUAUUGGGCGUAAAGAGCUUGUAGGCGGUUUGUCGCGUCUGCUGUGAAAGGCCGGAGCUUAACUCCGUGUAUUGCAGUGGGUACGGGCAGACUAGAGUGCAGUAGGGGAGACUGGAAUUCCUGGUGUAGCGGUGGAAUGCGCAGAUAUCAGGAGGAACACCGAUGGCGAAGGCAGGUCUCUGGGCUGUAACUGACGCUGAGAAGCGAAAGCAUGGGGAGCGAACAGGAUUAGAUACCCUGGUAGUCCAUGCCGUAAACGUUGGGCACUAGGUGUGGGGGACAUUCCACGUUUUCCGCGCCGUAGCUAACGCAUUAAGUGCCCCGCCUGGGGAGUACGGCCGCAAGGCUAAAACUCAAAGAAAUUGACGGGGGCCCGCACAAGCGGCGGAGCAUGCGGAU